UACGAAGGUCCCAAGCGUUAUCCGGAUUUAUUGGGUUUAAAGGGUGCGUAGGCGGAUUAUUAAGUCAGUGGUGAAAGCUCUCAGCCUAACUGAGAAAUUGCCAUUGAUACUGAUGAUCUUGAGUACAUUUGAGGUAGGCGGAAUGUGUCAUGUAGCGGUGAAAUGCUUAGAUAUGACACAGAACACCGAUUGCGUAGGCAGCUUACUAAACUGUAACUGACGCUGAGGCACGAAAGCGUGGGGAGCGAACAGG
rnacentral:rRNA from 1 species